rnacentral:lncRNA from 1 species
GGAAGGCUGCUCCCUUAAUGCUGAUCCCUCUGCUGUAGGGAAUGGGCCUGUCUGCUGACCUCUUGUCUGGGGCAACUGAAGUGAUACGCGGAAUAAAUAAAUAGACUCCACAACUCGAUGAGAACCUGAAUGGAUGGCAGGAGGGUUUGCAUGGAUAAGCAAGGAGAGCGUGACUGAACUAAAGCAUGAAAAGGAAGCAUACAAGAGGUUAUCCAGAGGACAGAGAGGAAGACCUUCAGCCUUCCUCCUAGAAGACCCCUGAAGAGACCAGAAGACCCCAUAGCAAUAAUGGGAGAAUGUGCUGUGCAGUAGAGUGAUGUAGAUUUCAAGAA